rnacentral:sRNA from 1 species
UCAGCUGUGACUGUAGUAUGACUUCCUUCAGUGGACCACUCUGCAAUGACCGUAAAUUACUUCCUGCAUUUGUUCCUGCCUCACAGAAAAUGGCAUAAAU